AUGAAGCACUUCCAGACGUGGACAUAAACAGAUUUCAGGACAGAGCUGUCUCAAACAUGCUUGCACCAGGGUUAGAAAACAAGAAAGGAGAAAGAGAUGUUUUCGAACAAUAAGAAAACUAAAAAGAUGAGACGUUAAAUGAGAUUGGCUGGCCGGUCUGGACCAGGCUGUUAAGAGAUCAUCAUGAUCAUAAUAUUGGGGUUGAUGACAGUAAUGUGAAAGCUUGCAAAAAUCAGCAAUCUGAU
rnacentral:lncRNA from 1 species